AGCGUCUAGUGCUGGGAAGUUUUGAGGAUGUGACACUGUGGAGGAGUUUAAGGGAGCAGACAUGGCCAUGGCCCAAAAGACCUCCUAAGGCUGCUCUGACUGAAGAAGCCUUGCUGGGUUAUGUCUCAAUUACAAUUUAAUAAGGACAUCUUGACCAGGAUUCUGUCUGGAGAGGAGGGAGAAGCUCUGGCUCUGCCUUGAACAGCUCCUAGAGAGAACAAGGCGUGCGGAGCUCACAUCACCAGCAUCAUGCUCCUUGGGCUUGGAUCGUAGAUCCCCUCUUUGAACAUUAAAAUAACCACUGCAUCCAUCAGCGUCCCAGACAGACCCAGAAAGAAAACACGCGUGCAAGAGAAAAUAAAAAGGACGAAGAAAAAAAAAAUCUGCAACCAAGGGGACCAAAGCAAAGAGAGAGAGUGUGCUUUGCUUGCCUAGCUGCAAAGUGGGAAUUUAAAGAACUGCAGAGAGAAAAAUUCCAGCUCUUCGGCACAUAUAUAUUGCAGACUUACAGAUCCAGGUAGAAAUGACAUCAACAGGGAAAGAAGGCAGCGGAGCUCAGCAUGCACAAUAUGUUGGACCCUAUCGUUUGGAGAAAACCCUAGGAAAAGGACAGACAGCUGAAAAAGAUGUUUACCAACCGGAGUCUA